rnacentral:lncRNA from 1 species
ACAUGAUGAAGCAUUUUUCUCCCCCAUUUAAAGAUCCAGUCAUGUUCCAGUUUGCAGGGGCAGAAGGGCUGGUUUGCAGUUGGUGCUGGGAGGAUAGAGCAUGCAGAAGUCCCUGGGCCAGGAAUGGAACCUGUGCCACAGAAGCAACCCAAGCCAAUGCUGGUGACGAUGCUGGUUCCUUAACCCACUGAGUCACUGGGGAAACUCCUCAUUGGUCUUUCUUAAGGGACCAGUUCUAGCAAUUAGAUGAGGCUGGCCAUUACCAGUGGUCUAGGACUGUUGUAUUCUUAUUAUCUAGUGCAAGAAGCUAAGCAAUAAUAGGACUCAAGUCUAUCUGCUAAGAAGGGGAAGAGGUAACUCUGCUUUUACUCCUUUUUCAUUCCAGCAAGUCUAUGAAGUAGAUGCUGUUAGUAUCCCCACUUCAUGGUUUGGGAAAUGGAGGAUCAGAGAGGUUGGGUGACUUGCCCCAGGUCACAGCUAGUGGUGGAGCUGGGAUUCAAACCCAGGUCUGCGAGGCUCCACAGCAGGUAUUCUCAACUACAAGAGUGUGCUACCACCUCUCACAUUCAUAGGAAGGCCAGCUGAGUUCCCACAGGACCACUGCUUUACAACUGGACCUAUCACUUUCCUGGUCCUAUCACCCCUGGCUGGAGCUUUGCUCUGGGGGUUCCUUCUGGCAUCUUGGUGGAAGCAAGGGGGGUUGAUAACUGGCAUUGUCUUGAAGGAGGAGGCUUUCCAGGCAGGCAGAAAGUUGAAAUGACUGCUGACUCAGCUAUCUGGAUGUCCUUACCUGAGGAGACAGGUAAAUAGACAGCAGUCAUGGAACCAUGAUUAAUGUUCAUAGAGUAGAUCUUACAUCCUCAAGAAAACAAUUUUGGCAACUUUUGUGUGGUGAGUACAUGCCUCCUGUGUGCUGGCUUCCUGCAUACAUGGUGUCUGCCACAACUGCCCUAGGUCUGCAGGGUCGUCCUCCAGUACAGAGUAGGAUACCUAGCAGAGAAAGAAAGUGACCUGCCAAGGUCAGAGAACAAGGUGGUGGAGGGGCUGUGGCACACACUUAGGCCUCCUGCACUUCCCAAUAUUUCACAAUGGCCCUCAGAAAAAAAUACUUCAGUGAUGCUUCAUCUCUUUAUUCAGGAGGAGAAAGCUGUGCUUAGUACAUUUUAGAAAGCUUCUAUGCCAAUGAGUUUAAAUUGGGGUGUUGGGGCUUAGGGGGAGAACUAUCAGUUGAGUGAAAGUUCAUUUCCAGUGGUCAGUGUUGGCAGAUGAAUGAGGCAUUAUUUGGCCUUAAAGAGGCCCCUGUAAGUGGGCACAGCUGGGGCCUGGUGGAUGUGAAGCUUGCUUUGCUGAGGGGCAGCUGCAUCCUGGCUGGUUCCUCUGAAGUCAGGCUGCAUGAGAACACAUAGGCCCUGGCAGCAUCCUGGCACCACCCAAAGCAGCAAACACCAGCAGCAAGGACACAUGCCAGGAAAGUUUCUGCAACCUCUUCCUCGGCCCUGAGCUAGGCGCCUGCCAUGGACAGAAGACUGCAGGAGCCCACAGCAGACCUAGACAGACUGUUUCUUCCACAGAAUUAUCUCACUAAAUAACUCUCGCUAAAGCCUAACAAGACUUGUCAUCAAGCCCAUUUUCCGGAGGGAGAAACCGAGACUCCAAGAACUACAGAACCUAUUUCUGUGUCUCAAUACGUAGGCCGGCUCUCCGACUUGACGGAAUCGCUCUGGCAACAGCGCCCUCUAAAGGCGGAGGCGAGUAUGCCUGCGUAACAGUCGUGCCCCGUCCUUUGGCGCUGGAAAUGGCGGAGGGCUCCCUCUGGCUUCUGAGGAUUGUCCAGCGCCCCUCCGAGGUCCUGGAGAAGCCAGGAGCGCUGCCUACAACUCGGCCUUGACUUCCCCGCAGCCUUGGUCGCCGCAGCAUUGGGUCAGAGGCAUCCCUGGAGAUUGCAGAAAGUUAGCGGCGGCCCCUGUUGACGCAGCGAGUGACGGCCCGACAUACCCUGAUAGGCCACGGGGAGGGCCAGACGCAGAGCCUUGAAAGAAGGAGCUUGCGCUCUGGAAGGGGCGUGGCCAGCGCUCUUCCUCGAGGGCGGGGCUCUAGGGGAAGGGGCUCUUCUCUGGGAUAUUGUGCCACAAGCGAGGACACCCGUGCACCUAGCCCAGGGCCUGUGUCCUGGCGUCAGCGCAUCUGUGGGCAGCAACUUUACCCUCCCCAGACCUCAGUUUCUGCACCUGUAAGACGGAGGCUCUUCCACAACUGCAAAAAUCGGAGUUUCAUCCAGCAUUCUCAGAAUUCCUGUCUCCAGGCAGGCACUGAGGAAUCAGAGCUGCGUUCCUGUGGAGGCUCAGAGCUCUGAGAUCUCCUUCACUUGCUGCAUCAGUACUCCUGACACUGGAGAGUUCUGGAGGUUGGAGACCAGCCCCUUCCUGGUGGAACAGGCACCCUGUAGCCUGGGAUGUGACAGUCAUAUGACAGGGCCUGUAACAAGUAACAGUGGUAGCCCAAAUAUGUCGAGCACUUACUAUAUGCCUGGCUUUUCAUGAAGUCUGUCGCAUACGUUAUUUACACCCCCACCCGCACAGCCGUGUCUGGUGGUCCUGUUCUUGACAUCCUGUUUACUGAUGAGCCCAGAGUCACACAAUAGUAGCCAGUCCAAGGUCACCCAGCUAAUAAAUGGCUGAAGCAG